GAUGAAGAACGCAGCGAAAUGCGAUAAGUAGUGUGAAUUGCAGAAUUCAGUGAAUCAUCGAAUCUUUGAACGCACAUUGCGCCCCUUGGUAUUCCAUGGGGCAUGCCUGUUCGAGCGUCAUUUGUACCUUCAAGCUCUGCUUGGUGUUGGGUGUUUGUCUCGCCUCUGCGUGUAGACUCGCCUCAAAACAAUUGGCAGCCGGCGUAUUGAUUUCGGAGCGCAGUACAUCUCGCGCUUUGCACUCAUACCUACGACGUCCAAAAGUACAUUUUUACACUCUUGACCUCGGAUCAGGUAGGGAUACCCGCUGAACUUAAGCAUAUCAAUAAGCGGAGGA
rnacentral:misc_RNA from 1 species